GUGCCUAACACAUGCAAGUCGUACGGGACUUGGGGGCAACUCCAAGUUCAGUGGCAGACGGGUGCGUAACACGUGAAGAACUUGUCCGGUGGCGGGGGAUAGCCGGCCCAACGGCCGGGUAAUACCGCAUACGAUCGCGCGGGGGCAUCUCUGCGCGAGGAAAGCAGCCGCAAGGUUGCGCCGACGGAGAGCUUCGCGGCCUAUCAGCUAGUUGGCGGGGUAAUGGCCCACCAAGGCGACGACGGGUAGCUGGUCUGAGAGGAUGAUCAGCCACAUUGGGACUGAGACACGGCCCAG
rnacentral:rRNA from 1 species